rfam:Nicotiana attenuata strain TT chromosome 5, whole genome shotgun sequence.
UGGACAAAUUAUUGUAUUCGACUGUAUUCACGGCGUGAAACAGGGGAUUACACUAUUUUUAAACGGAAAGUGAAUCAAUUAAUAUAAUAGACUCCG